CACUAAGCUAACUACCUUCAUAACCAAGAGGACAUAGACGAACAGCCUUAGGAGAGUUGAGCACCUAUCAGAUCCUCUGCUGUCCUUCACCCCUCGGUGCAGUCUGCUGACCAUCGCUGGGGCCAGGAAAAAGUCUGUCAACCGAGGUUCCAGGUGAUCUCCCAUCUUCUUCAUAGUGGCCUCAGCUGGACUCCACUGCAUAACCUCUUGGUCAGCUGGAAACCCACCGCAUAACCUCUAGCCAGGUGAAUCAAGAGCUUCACCAGAGACGGAAGAGGAAGCGAGACAACCUGCCAUUCCUACGUCACUGCCUUAUCCGCUUGUUGCCCUAAUCCAGUCCCCCAUCAGUACACAUUUUUAUUGUAGCCCCAGACAAGCACAUCUGAUUCAACUUGUCAACUAAUCAUCAAGCCCUUGAGUUGAAUGAGGUGUGUUUGUCCGGGGGCUACAAUGAAAAUGUGUACGGCUAGGGGUACUUGAAGACCGGAGUUGGUAAACAACGAGGGAGUUCUAUUAACCUGAGCCGCGGUGCACUGGUCUAUGACCCAUGGCGUGAAAGGGAAAAAGCGGUGAGGGAGGAGUGUCCUUCUCAAAUCUAACAGUAAUUUGUGCCACUGUCAUGUUGUCGACAAGGCAGCAUGGUGCAUCUUUCAGAAACACAUUUUUUUCCCAUAAAAUGUUUGAAUUUUCAAACUAGUUAUUUUCAUUGUGAUUGCAGAUAAUGCGUUUUUAUCAAAAGCAAUCACUUUCACAUGUGAAAACACGGUCCUACUCAUUACUCCAUGUGCUUGGUCUAGCCUACAGUAGGCAAUCUCUUUUCACCCGCUGCAAACAGAGGUGCUCGACACUAAGCACAUGUGGACUGACUACAGGUUAUAAAGAGGCAGAGGUUGUGAACUGCAAGGUGAGAGACAGACCUUAGUUAAAGGGAUAC